AUAGUGUCAUAAUCGGUGAAC
rnacentral:piRNA from 1 species